rnacentral:lncRNA from 1 species
GCAAAGAAAAGGGAAAAAAUGGAAAAUCCUAAAUGUUUUCCCUCAUUCGGUCCGCCGUCCAACCACCAUUCCACCACUAUAAUCGGUGGAUGAUGGCAUGCAGUGGCUCCCCCCGUUUAGAACCUAGCCUUAAGGGUUGUCGAUUUCAGCCCCACAAUCCCAUCUCAAGCUUCGAUUUCGACGAAGGAGAUAAUGACUCCGAUGGCUCGUUCGCGAAGGUAAGCCUUCUCCUUUUCAUUUUCUUAUGCUAAAACUACAUGCAAAAUCCAGAAAGAAAACAGAUUGAAAAGAAAGAAAGUAUAAAGCAUUUGAAAAUCACCUUUUGAUAAUUUUUGGUUGCUUUUUAAUUCAAUACGCGUAAAAAAUUACAGUUCUCCUCUCUUUGGCUUUAUAGCCAAACCAAAAUAAAUAAAUAAAAUACAAGCUUUUUUGUUACUUCUUUGUGCUGUUGUGGUUGUUUGUUUUCUCUGUAGGUAUGGCAUUUGCUGGCAUCGUACGGAGGUACGGAGAGGCUACGUGGCGAGGCGGUCGUGGCUGUGGGCGCAUGGAGGCUGGGGCUUGGCUACGGCGCAAGGGGGAGAAACCUUAGGGUUUCUGUUAGUGUUUUAAUUUUGGGCCAUUUGGGCCUUGUAUUUCUAGGCUAGGUUUUAGGUUUGGGUCAAAUUUGUUGUUGGGCUAUGGACUAUUGUAAUUUGGGUUAUGACUUGGGCCUGAACUGUUUAUUUAUUCAGUUUUAUUUAUUAUUUUAAUCUGGGCUAAAAUUGGCCUAUUACAAAAGAUAUUUUAUAUGAUUAAUUAAUAAUUAUCAUUUUGUAAUUUAAAAUGGGUUGAUGUAGUAUUAUUUUGAAAUAAAACAAUUAUUUAAA